UGGAUAGAAUAGCCAUUUUUCAAGUGUAUUGCUACAGAAGAACAUCAAGGCAAAGCAGAGGUUUGCAGUGGGAUAGAUUUUCAGUCUCUGCAUAUAGCAGUGGGACAUCCCACUUGUGAACCUUACUUCCUAUUUGGGGACAGAAACAUCUUAUAGCCCCAGGAACCCUACACUCAGAGACUCAGAUAAGAGCUGGUCUCUGGACUGGAGUGAGACAAAGAGAAAUUUCAACCAGAAGAAUUUCUAUCAUGCUCUGCCCUGGCCUGCUGUGGGCGUUCCUGGCCUCCUUUGGCUUCAGAUCCGGCAUGGCUGAGAAAGUGAUCCAAAUGCAGAAUACGGUAAUAAUUCAGGAAGGAAAAGCUGCCACCAUGGAGUGCAAGUAUGAAACCAGUUGGAGUAAUUACUAUACUUUGUAUUGGUACAAACAGCCUCCCAGUGGAAGGAUACAUUUCCUCAUUUACCAGGAUGAAAGCAAGCCAAAUGCAAAGCAGGGUCGCCUCUCCAUGAACUUUCAAAAGACAGAAAAAUCCAUCGCCCUCACCAUCUCUCUCGUACAACUGGGAGACUCGGCGGUGUAUUUCUGUGCUCUCAGUAGUUCCACGGUAAUAAAAAUAAUAGUGGAAGAUGAACAGAAGCCUUGGAGCUCCACAAAGGCAGCCACCUGCUUAGAGGCUUAGGAAAAACCCAUGAACCACUGACAGGAAGAAGGAAGGCACUGUGGUAGCCCAGUUGAGACUUUCUAAUGUAAACUUCCUUUCUAUUAAAAAAAUGUUCUCCUAAUUGAGCUCGGUGUAUAAAACAAUAUUGUUCCCUGAGAUUGCCAAGUAUUACAUUUGUAUCUUGGGUUAAAGUAAACCACCCAGUGCUUCUCUAAUUGUCCCUAAACAGUUAGGCUUGUUAAAAAGGAAACAGAAGGCUCAAAAUGGAGUCACUUGUGCUAAACCCCACAUCAGUAAACCAAGACUUAAUCCUUAACCUAACUGUAGUUCCAACCUUCCAGGAAUGUAAACUUUAACCAGUUAACAUGGAAUUACCUAGUCAGCACUAGUGACAUAACCUGCCAGAUAGAUCCCCUCUGUUCCCCUUAGAAAAGCGACUUGCCUAAAACAAUGCAUUACUUGCUAAUAAUUUCCUUUUUCUGCCCCCUAUUCACCAAAUCCUAUGCUAAACAACAAACAAUGUGGGCUUUGGGAACUGCCUUCAAACACAGGAAGAAGAAAGUACUAAGGAAAGUGAAAAGAAUUUGGUUGAGAGUGAGUUUUACAACUACUUCUGGGAGAAAAAACCUAACAGAAAUAGUUCUAAAAUCCCUGAGUGACUGAAAAUAAUUCAGUCUUUCAUCUCAGAGUAUUGUGGUAGGAAGGUCUUCACUGAGCCUUCCACUAGAGGGAGGUAUCAUAGACAAGGUAUUUAUCUUUAGACCUAAAACACAAACCUUGAAAAGACUGUGGACAGACUUGGUUCCUAGUUCUAAGUAAAGAAGUUCAUACACACGGUCACAAGAGGGGGCUGUUACACCUGCAAACCAAAGCUCCUUCCAGACUGAGGGGGAGAUUAUCACUGAGUUGCACAAAAAUUUCACUUUCCUCCCUUGUCACCUUGCACUUCAUAAUCUCACAUGGAAUGAGAACACAGCUUCAAGGACAUAGGUAAACCUCUUACCCAAUGCAGAGCAAAGAGCGGACCUCUCAUGGGAAGAAAAGAGAGAGGUGAUUAAUAGUUUAAUUUUUAAUGGCCAAAUAUUGGCUCCUAUAGUAAAGUGAUAAGCUUAGUUAUUAGAGCAGAGAAGGAUGAAAAAUUUUAAUUUUAUUCUAUCCCAUUUCUUUAAUAACAACCAUUUCUUUAGAAUAAAUAGGGAAACUCUUUUAUGUUUAUUUCCACCUCUUGUAAAAUGGCUUCGUUUCAAAUAAUCCCUUCUCAUUCCUUCCUUCUUUUUAGCAGCCUCAAUGCACACCACCACUGGGCUUGGAGACGAGAAAAUAUGUGUUGAAGAUGGGCUCAGGUGGGAUAGGAAUAAGUACCAUUCAAGUCAUUGGUUUCUGUAUCAAGACCAGAGGCAUCCAACAACGUCUGUCUGGAAGAAGCUUAAAAUAUCAUUUCAGGAGCCAACAUGGAAGACCUGAAUACCAGGCACCUUGGUUUUUUUUUUUUUUCACUUUGGCUUUUACACUGGAUUCCAAUUUUUUCUUUUCCUGUUAGAGUACGCACAGUAGUAUCGUACAACUGUGAAGUUAUUUUUGUCAUAAACUUGCAAAUAUUUUCUUCCAAUGUUAUUGGAUUUUUAGCUCAGCUUAUGGUCAUUUUUUUUUUAACCAGAAAGAAGUUUCUAACUUUUGAAGUUAAAUUGUUACUGCUCCUGAGAUGUACUUUCUCUGGCUGAGCAUACAGAUAGGAAUUCUCAUCUUCCUUAUACAGUCCAGCGCUCAAUAUAGGUUUCUUGGAUUAAGACAUUCAUACCAGCUCAGCGGAACAUCAAGUCACCAAUUAGUGGUGGGUUUUGCCUUGUGCCACAAAUGAGAGUUGGAUAAUCUCUUUGGGGAUGAUUUUGCUCAUUCAGCUGCACUCAGACAUAGCCAACGUGAGUUUGAGCCUUGAAAAGGAUCUUAGUGUAAGCCCUUUAAAUUAGGCCUGGACAUUGGGAAAAUAUCCUUGUUCUCUUUUAAAAUUUUUUGUUUAAUCCUAGGGGUGGGAGUAGACCCAAUCAAGAGACUGCUCCGUGUUCAGCUGACACCCAACUGGAAAGCUGCCUGGCAGAGGGCUGUGCGACUGGCUGCCUAGUUCUUGCUGGGACCUCCCCCAAUGUAGGCUAAGAUACAGAUCCUGAACUCUGCGACCUGGGACUCCAGUUUGCACUUGAACUAUGAGAUCACUGACGGGAUUAGCUAUUCUCCUAACUUUAGGUAUUAUGAGCGAUGCUGAGACCACACAGCCAAAUGCAAUGGAGAGUACAGAAGAGGAAUCUGUACGCCUGCCCUGCAACCACUCCACAAUCAGUGGGAGUGAGUACAUACAUUGGUAUCGACAGAUUCCCCACCACGGGCCAGAAUAUUUGAUUCAUGGUCUAAAAGACAAUGUGACUAAUGGAAUGGCCUCUCUAACCAUCGCAAGAGACAGAAAGUCCAGUACCUUGGUCCUGCCCCGGGUUACCCUGGGAGAUGCCGCCGUGUACUACUGCAUUACCAGAGACACACACUGGGACAGAUGGGGCUGCACCUGUACACUAUCUGCCUGGCGGGGAGGGGAGGGCCGGGGGGGGGGGGGGGGGGAAGGGAAGCAGCAGCUGCCAUCUCAAGAGGUCACUGCACAAGAACGAGCCGGAGCCCAGUAGAAGAGACGUAAAGAAGAAAAGGGGGAAGAGGUGAAGAGAAGAUUGUAAGGAAGUCAAGGAAGAAAGAAUAAAAGGAUCAAAGAGGAUGCAGAAGAAGGGCUUAGUUAUUAAAGGGAAGGACUAAAACGCUUGCAAGGAAGAGACACAAUUGUAAACCUUCCAUAAAGGGAAAGGGAAAUGAGAAUUUGCCAUAGCUCUUUGUUUUUUUUUUUAAUUUAUUUUUAAUUAA